ACGCUCGACACCUAGGAGGCAGCAGUUAGGAAUAUUGGGCAAUGGAGGAAACUCUGACCCAGCAACGCCGCGUGAAGGAAGAAGGUUUUCGGAUUGUAAACUUCUGAUCUAGGGGAAGAAGGAAGUGACGGUACCCUAGGAGAAAGCCACGGCUAACUACGUGCCAGCAGCCGACGGUAAUCUGAGCGGGCUGGCAAGGC
rnacentral:rRNA from 1 species